rnacentral:rRNA from 1 species
GACGAACGCUGGCGGCGUGCCUAAUACAUGCAAGUCGAGCGGACGGAUGGGAGCUUGCUCCCAGACCGUCAGCGGCGGACGGGUGAGUAACACGUGGGCAACCUGCCUGUAAAACUGGGAUAACUCCGGGAAACCGGGGCUAAUACCGGAUAACUCUUUCCCUCACAUGAGGGAAAGCUGAAAGAUGGCAUCUCGCUAUCACUUACAGCUGGGCCCGAGGCGCAUUAGCUAGUUGGUGAGGUAACGGCUCACCAAGGCGACGAUGCGUAGCCGACCUGAGAGAGUGAUCGGCCACACUGAGACUGAGACACGGUCCAGACUCCUACGGGAGGCAGCAGUAGGGAAUCGUCCGCAAAGGACGAAAGUCUGACGGAGCAACGCCGCGUGAGUGAUGAAGGUUUUCGGAUCGUAAAACUCUGUUGUCAGGGAAGAACAAGUACCGGAGUAACUGCUGGUACCUUGACGGUACCUGACCAGAAAGCCACGGCUAACUACGUG